GAUGAACGCUGGCGGCGUGCCUAAUACAUGCAAGUCGAGCGAAGAGACAAGGAGUUGGCUCUUCGGACGUUAUUCACUUACGGUUGAGUAACACGUGGAUAACCACCCGUUAACACUGUAAUAACUUCGAGAAGCUGGAGCUAAUACCGCAGAAUUUAUACAAUCUCACGGUUCAAUAGUGAAUGUCGGUUUUGUUGUCACUACUGCAUUGAUACGUGCCGCAGUAUCCAGUUGGGAAGGUGAUGGCAUACCAAGGCAACGUAGGGUAGCCGACAUGAGAGGGUGAUCGGCCAAACUGGAAGUGAGAGACGGUCCCGACUCCUAAGGGAGGCAGCAGUCGGGAAUCCUACGCGAUGGGGGAAAGCGUGACGGAGCAACGCGGAGUGAGUGCUGAAGGUCUUCGGAUCGUAAAACUCUGUUAUUAGGGAAGAACAAAUGUGUAAGUAAAUAUGAACGUCUUGACGGUACCUAAUCAGAAAGCCACGGCUAACUACGUG
rnacentral:rRNA from 1 species